UGAGUGAAAAUGCAUAAUGAGGACGAAUCUACAAAAUUCUGAGAAAAAUGAGUGAAGAAUCGUCCUCUCUAAACGUGAAUGGAAACCAGAUUAUAUAGAGUUUCAACUUUAACAGAGAUUAACUCUGUUAAAGCUCUCUCAGUUCAAGUUAGUUAGAGGUUGGAUCUCUGUUAAAAAUCUAUCAAGGUUAGUUAGAAAUGUUAGUUAUGAUAUCAAUUUAUUAAUUGUUGAUUUGAAGUUAGUUAGUAGUUAGUGAUCCAAGGUGUGACUGGUUGAUGCAGGUUACAGGUUAACAUGAAUUAUGUGAAGUGGCUAUGGAUUAUACAUGGUGAUGACAUGCUAAACAGGUAUGAUUUCGAGUUGCAAGUUUUGAGUUAUUUUAGCAAACUGCAUGAUGACUUAUUGAUGCGGGUUGCAGGGUAAUGGUCUACUGAUGGGUGAGCAAGGUGGUUGCAUUCCUACUGCAGGUGUGAGUGAUGUUACGUGUGAAUCUGAUUUUUUAGUUCUGUUAUAGUUAAUUGGUUUUGUUAAAUGAUGUUAGUGAUAGUUGGUUGAAAUCUGUUAGGAGAAAAUCGUUAGCUUGAGUUUGAGUUAGCUGGUUUUUAAUUAGUUAAUUUCUUUGUAGCUUCAGUUGAGUUCGGUUGUUAGCUUGAAACUAAGUUUUGAAUUUAGGUAUGUUAGAUUUCAGUUGUUAAUCCUCUGUUAGUUAAUUAGUGUUGAAUCAACUAGAAGCUUAUUAGUUACAUUUAAUUUGUGAAGUCUAAUGGUGAUAUAAUGUGUUAGUUAACAGGCUGUUAUCAGUUAGGAAAACAUACAAGCUGUCAUAUGGUUUACUCAUGCCCUGUAUUGACUGUUAUGCCUUGGUCUAAAUAUUAGGACUAGUUUGCCUAUUUUUAGUGUUUGCUUGUUAUGAUGGUUGCUUAAUGAUGUUAAUGACUUGCUUUGAUAUGCUUGCAGACCCAUAAUGAGCUCAUGGUGGCAUAGCCAAAGGAAGCACAUGGAGGCCUUUGAGGAUGCAAGGAUGGGCUGCCAUAUUAAAAGCUCUUUUUUCCUUUCUUCCUUUUGAUUCAAACCAUGUUAUGAAAUAGAAUUGGGGCUUACUCUUUGUAUGGAUAUGAUCAUGUAAAGAUACACUUUGUAAUCAAACUUCAAUUAUCACUUCAAAUUAUGGAUGCCAUUUACACGGAUGCAAGCUAGUAAAUGAAUGAAAGUUAUGAGGUUUGGUUCUUUCUAGAAAAAGUCAAUUGUCGACCAAAGUCAACUUUGGUCGAAGUUAUAUUUUUUGUAAUUUUAUUUGUGAUGCAAUUAAUGAACAAAAACGGUUCUUUUAU
rnacentral:lncRNA from 1 species